CGGCAAGUGAUGUCGUCAUGCCAAUGGUGGCUCCAAUUCUGUAACGCGUCCCUCUCUUUUCUUGAAAACCCUUAAAGCCCAAUUCUCUGUACUCCUUCUCCUCCCAAUAGCCUCCACCGGCAGAUCAACCCCCUUUAGUCUCCGCCGUCGUUUUACUCCUUAUCUACCACCGCUCCAAGUCCCGAGGGACCCAUCUCUACUCUCUCCCUUCCUCCACCAACACCCUCACUCGUACCCACUUUUCCCAAAUCGCUAUUCUCCUGAAAUUGAAUCCCCACCUUUCCCUUCGCUUCUUCAUCUUCACUCUACACAACUCUUUCUG
rnacentral:misc_RNA from 1 species